UCUGCAUGUGCGUGCAUGUGUGUGUGUGUGUGUAUUUCUGAUUUCUGUCGCUCACCCACUUUUUGGAUUGGAUAAUUGCUAUAAAUCUAUCUCUGAGUUUACUAAUUGUAUGUUCUACCAGUUCAAAUCUGCUUUUGAGUAUUUCUAUUGAAAUUUCUUAUAAAUUAUUAUAGCUUCCUUUUCUUUUUCUUUCUUUUUUCUCUGUACAGUCAAGAUCUUGCUAUAUUUCCCAGGCUGGUUUCAAACUCCUGGUCUCAAGCAAUCCUUCUGCCUCAACCUUCUAAAAUGCAGAGAUUAGCAACAUACUUUAAAGCAUUGAAGAAGGAUAUCCACAGAUGUUACCACUGCUUGUUCAGAAAGAUUGCUGAAUAGAGUGUUUAUAAGAUCAGAGCCUCCCAGGCUACAUUAUAGAGGAACGUGUGCCAGUUUCCUUGGCUUCGACUGAUGGAGUUUUAGAGAAGUCUUUAAUAGCAACACCCAGCAGUCUUAAGUAAGUAUUACAGUAAAAUUCCACCUGAAAGUAAGAAUUAUUUAACAUACAGGAGCUUGUAAUAUAAUUAUCUGAAUGAUUAUCUACCAAAAUAAUAAUAUUUUCCAACCAAUAGCAUGGAUUUAAAUGAAAACAAAACCCAGGUUCAAAGAGACUUAAUAUAAAGAAAAGACUUGUUCCAAUUUGCAACUGAAUGUGUCUUAAGCCAGCUAUUUUAUGAACAUAGUUAACAAUCCUUUAAAACACUACUUCACCCAGUAUUUUUCUUCAAAAAUGGUAAAAUUAAAAAAAAAAUAGCAAAACAUUCACAGUUAGAGAAUCACGCUAUCCCAUCAAACUAACAUUGACUUUCUUCA
rnacentral:lncRNA from 1 species